UUAAAUUGAAGAGUUUGAUCAUGGCUCAGAUUGAACGCUGGCGGCAGGCCUAACACAUGCAAGUCGAACGGUAACAGGAAGCAGCUUGCUGCUUUGC
rnacentral:rRNA from 7 species